UGAAGAUGAUCAAGGCUGGGUCUGGUUACCCUGAUCCAGAUAUUCGUCCUUCCAUUUCACGUAAUUAUUCGCGGAAUAGCGUAACCCAGCCUUCUCUUCAUCACUUAACGGGCGGAUCUGUUUGACGGGACUACCGAGAUACAGAUAUCCGCUCUCCAGCCGUUUAUUUUGUGGGACCAGACUACCCGCACCAAUCAUCACAUCAUCUUCUACUAUUGCGCCAUCAAGUAAAAUUGAGCCCAUCCCAACCAAAACUCGAUUGCCAAUGGUGCAGCCGUGGAGCAUCACCUUGUGACCAACAGUGACAUCUUCGCCAAUGGUUAAUGGGUUGCCAUCUGGGUUGUACGAGGAUUUAUGAGUGACAUGCAACAUACUGCCAUCCUGGAUAUUGGUGCGUGCUCCGAUCUGUACAUAAUGUACAUCUCCACGAAUCACAACGAGCGGCCAGAUCCCCACAUCAUCAGCCAGACGAACGUCACCAAUCACGACACUGCUAUCGUCGAUCAUUACGCGCUGACCGAUUUGUGGAAAAAGAUCGCGGUAUGGGCGUAAAACAUCAGACAUACUUACCUCAGCAAUAAAUGAUUUACUAAUGACUUUGGGGGCAUUAUUGGCCUUGUGCAAGUCUUUUAGUAUGCAAAAAAGCACCGUUUUGUGUGCGAAUGCAGCAAAAAGGGUGAAAAAACAACAAACAGAAAAAAAGAUCAAAAAAGUACUUGUGCAAAAAAUUGGGAUCCCUAUAAUGCGCCUCCGUUGAGACGACAACGUGAAACACUUCACAAGAUGGUCGUAACAACGAAGAGAAAAAAUCCUGGAAUUCAGGGUUGACUCUGAAAGAGGAAAGCGUAAUAUACGCCACCUCGCGACAGUGAGCUGAAAGCCGCGUCGCAACUGCUCUUUAACAAUUUAUCAGACAAUCUGUGUGGGCACUCGAAGAUACGCUUCUUUAAGGUAAGGAGGUGAUCCAACCGCAGGUUCCCCUACGGUUAC
rnacentral:rRNA from 1 species